CGAUUAGAGUUUGAUCCUGGCUCAGAACGAACGCUGGCGGCAUGCCUAACACAUGCAWKUCGAACGAAGGCUUCGGCCUUAGUGGCGCACGGGUGCGUAACGCGUGGGAAUCUGCCCUUAGGUUCGGAAUAACAGUUAGAAAUGACUGCUGGGGSCGGAUGAUGACGAAAGUCCAAAGAUUUAUCGCCUGAGGAUGAGCCCGCGUAGGAUUAGCUAGUUGGUGUGGUAAAGGCGCACCAAGGCGACGAUCCUUAGCUGGUCUGAGAGGAUGAUCAGCCACACUGGGACUGAGACACGGCCCAGACUCCUACGGGAGGCAGCAGUGGGGAAUAUUGGACAAUGGGCGCAACUGAUCCAGCAAUGCCGCGUGAGUGAUGAAGGCCUUAGGGUUGUAAAGCUCUUUUACCCGUGAUGAUAAUGACAGUAGCGGGAGAAUAAGCCCCGGCUAACUCCGUGCCAGCAGCCGCGGUAAUACGGAGGGGGCUAGCGUUGUUCGGAAUUACUGGGCGUAAAGCGCACGUAGGCGGCUUUGUAAGUUAGAGGUGAAAGCCUGGAGUUCAACUCCAGAACUGCYUUUAAGAYUGCAUCGCUUGAAUCCAGGAGAGGUGAGUGGAAUYCCCAGUGUAGAGGUGAAAUUCGUAGAUAUUCGGAAGAACACCAGUGGCGAAGGCGGCUCACUGGACUGGUAUUGACGCUGAGGUGCGAAAGCGUGGRGAGCAAACAGGAUUAGAUACCCUGGUAGUCAAUCACUAGUGA
rnacentral:rRNA from 1 species